rnacentral:rRNA from 1 species
GGGGAAUAUUGGACAAUGGGCGAAAGCCUGAUCCAGCAAUGCCGCGUGGGUGAAGACGGCCUGCGGAUUGUAAAGCCCUUUAGGCGGGGAGGAACGACGGGACGUGAAUAGCGUUUCGGAGUGACGUUACCCGCGGAAGAAGCACCGGCUAACUCCGUGCCAGCAGCCGCGGUAAUACGGAGGGUGCGAGCGUUAAUCGGAAUUACUGGGCGUAAAGCGUGCGUAGGCGGAUGGGUCAGUCAGCCGUGAAAGCCCCGGGCUUAACCUGGGAACGGCGGUUGAGACGGCCCGUCUUGAGUGGGCUAGAGGAUCGUGGAACUCCCGGUGUAGCGGUGAAAUGCGUAGAGAUCGGGAAGAACACCGAUGGCGAAGGCAGCGAUCUGGGGCCACACUGACGCUGAGGCACGACGGCGUGGGGAGCAAAC